CUGGGCUAUGUGCUUUGCAUCAUAACCACAUGGAGGAAAGCCACGAUUAUCUCCGCCUGAUAAUCCAGGACAAUAUGGCUCCAGACAUUAUGGACCUUACCCAACGUUUCUCAGCUCACAAAUGUUAAAGUACAGGUCGAGCAUUCUUAAACUGGAAAUCUGAAAUCUUAGAUGUUCCAAAAUCCAAAGCUUUUGAGAACCAAUGUGAUGCCGCAGAUGGAAAAUUGUACAUCUACCUUCAUGUUAUGUGUCACAGUGAAAGCACGGGCACUUUCAAAGUGCUGUACAAAAGUACUUUCAGAAGCAUAUGGAACGUAAAAUGAAUAUCUCAUUGCUUCCUUUAUUUGAGCACCACAAGGAGAAAGGCGUCUCCAGCCACAACUGUGUCCACCUGAGUCCUGGCUUUCUUCCUUUCUGUUUUGUACUCCGUGGGAUAAACAAUACCAGCAAGGUGGA